rnacentral:rRNA from 1 species
GACGAACCGUGCGAACGUUGUUCGGAAUCACUGGGCUUAAAGGGCGCGUAGGCGGGGAGGUAAGUCAGGGGUGAAAGCCCACGGCCCAACCGUGGAAGUGCCUUUGAUACUGCCUGUCUCGAGGGAGGUAGGGGCGUGCGGAACUUCCGGUGGAGCGGUGAAAUGCGUAGAUAUCGGAAGGAACACCCGUGGCGAAGGCGGCUUCCUGGGGCCAUCCUGACACUGAGAAGCGAAAGCUAGGGGAGCGAACGGG